AAACAUAGAAAGUUAAAACUCUGUUAUAAAAUAAACAAAAAAAUUAAAAUCCUACUCUAAAAAUUAACGUGUACUUUGCAAACAGAGCCAUCAGUAAUUAGUGUUCAUUAACAAACCAAUAUAAAUCUUUAAAAAAAUUUACGCUUUCCAAAUUGAGAAAACUUCAGGAAUUUCAACAUGCAAACUAAAGUCACCUUCGUAUUGCUUUUAGUGUGUAUUGCAGUCAGUUACGUUAACUGUAUUGUCGCUGGUGGGAAUAACAUGCAUGGAGAUUAUGUAAAAUCACUGAAAAACAAGUUAUCUAUGGAUGGAAAGGUAGCUUGUGAAUGUUGCAAAAUAUGUCAAAAUGAAAGGUCGUACGCAAGGAAAGUAGAAGAAUUUGAAAACGAAGAAAAUUUGUAAUGCUGUAAAUAAGAAAUAAAUGUUGCUAAAUAUA